UUAACUUCUUCUUCUUCGAGCGCCUCACCGUAAUUCUUCGUUCUCCUUUAACAACAAAACUCAAGUGUUCUUUUAUUACCAAAUCAAACCAAACCUCACUGUGACUCUUCGUAAUUCUAAACCCAACCAAAAGAAUACCAAACUUUCUCUCUCAUUUCAUCUCCGAUUCUCACUUUCUGAUCAGAUUCCAUUCCUUCCUUCGUCGGAGUUCCAAUCGAAAGAGAGCUAGUGAAGGAGGAGCGAAUCUAGAAGAACAGAUUAACGACAACAACAAUAACAACAAUGCAGGUUCUGUUAAGAAGGCUCAGAUUGAUUCUACAACUACUUUCUCGCGUAAAUCGAGUAAUGGUUUGAAGGAAGGGAAUCCAGUGCUGGCAUAUUUUCCUAGUUGCUGAGGAAUAUUACGCAUCUCUACGAAAAAUUAUAGAACACUUGAUCACAGGAGUGCCAUGGUCUGGCCAGUUUCCUUUUAAGAAGAGGUCUGGUGAAAUAUUUAUGGUAAUGGUAACAAAAACUCGUUUUUACGAAGGCGGCGAGCUUGUUGAUGUUAUUAGUGUUUCUAGUGAUGCAUCUGUAUUUAACUCUAAGGGUUUCAAAGAACGAAGAACUUGUCAAUCUCGUGCGAAGGACUAACCUGGAAUUCAAAGUUGAUAGGAAACCCCCUUCUCGAAUUUGGUACCGAUUUUAACUCGGCUACUGAAUUUUUGAAGUGGCAUAGACAGAUAUCAGAAAACACAUUGAAUAAUGUAUGCAACAUGGCAACCUUAAAGAGACAAAUUCAAUCUAGGAAUUUUAGUACCGAUUGUUCUAAAGUGAAUUUUCAAUUGUCAAUUAGUGGUAGCUGUGGAUCCUUUCACCGUGAAUGCUGAUAUUUGUCCACCAUCAGAAUACAAAGCAGACAUGUGUACUAAACUGCAAGCUGGAGAAAAGAUACAUGUAUUUAUGGGAGAUGAAACCAACACAUACAUGAAUAAGAAGGAUUUUAGAUUUAACACAACAAAGCCCUUUAGAAACUGGUUUGAGGGAGGACAGGUUGCUGGAACGACUGUAAAGUAUGAGGACAUCCUCACAUUCACAAUUGUCAGAGGAGUUGGUCACUCAGUUCCUUCUUCUCAACGAAAGAGAGCUUUGAAGAUGAUUCAGACUUUUUUUAAUGGAAAGUCUCUUCAAAAUGAACUUCCAAAUCAAGAAAGCAUUCUAUAAAGUAUAGUGAAAUUCUUUAGUUUACAACUGUAUGUGCAAGCUAAAGCAAAGUUGUCUGCUGCCAUUUCUCAUCUGAUGGAAAAUUACUUGCAAGCGGUGGACAUGACAAAACGGUUAGGAGAAUCAUUAAUUUUGAUAAGAAUAUUCAAUAUUGUACUUUCUUUGUUCUACCAACUUUCUGAAAUUAGCAGUGAACUUGUGCAAUUGUCCGGCUUGAAGGAUAAUCAAAGAAAAAAUUAGGAAUUUUUCUCUCUUUAUUAUGUUUAUUUAGAUAUGCAGUUUUAUCUUAAUUUUUGUUUUGGUUUGUUAAGUGAUACUUCAUCUAAAACUUCAAGUUGAAGUCCUUGCUAGUGAUACUUUAUUUGUAUGGUUAAAUAAUUUCAGGCAGCUAGAGUCCUUGCGAAUCUUCGAAUUGGAAAAAGUGGAGAACAAAGGAAGGAUACUAUAAGUAUUAAAGAUAAUUGCACAAUAAUUCAAGAAGGAAUAGAAUGAAUAAUGGAAAUGAUUUAUCUGGAAGUUCACUUGCAUUAACCUUGCACCAGGAUAUUUCUAAUGGAGAAGAUAAAGAAGAAAAUCUCCAAAAAUGUAAUUUUUUAUUUGUUGUAAAUAUAACAUAUCCAAAAAUUUCU